AAGAAAUCCUAACAACCGCCAAUAGUUCGCUUUUACCAAUAUACGUCCUCCUUUCUCUUUUAAGUGUGAAGUUUUAAUAAAAGAAUGGAGUGAAAGGCGGGCGAUUUAAUGCGGAUUUUUGUUCUCCCCGGUUUCUUUUUACAAGCGCGCUGAGUGAGGCAGCGCUGUUACCAUGGAGACGGAAGUUUGGCCGUUUCAGGUUUCACUUGUUUCGCAAAGGAUCAAAUCCGCAGCAAAGAUUCAGGAUUUGGGUUUCAGCUGUUUGAUUUCCUUCUGUCCAUCGAUGAUAUUACGCGUUACUUUACAAACCUCUAAAUCCCAUUAAUUUUUCAGUUGUGGUUUGCGCAGGCGUGCUUUCGUCAACAGUUGAUCAUGCAUCACAGGGAAAUUAACAGGUUACAAUGCAUUGGGAAGUCGCCAAGAAAUCCCCUCAAGGUUUCAGGUCAGCUUGAGAUUCUUGGUCCAGAAGGUGGAAUCAUUGUGGAACAGUUUGGAAACAAGUCACGAAUGAACCUCACUGACCAAGUCACAUGUCUGGCUAAGGAGCAAGCAAAUGGAAAGCUACAAGUGCUUAAAGAUGGAGAAGUGGUUCCAGUUGUGCCUAUUGAAACGAUAUCACGGCCUGGUAGUUUUGGAAUUAGACAAAGUUCAGCCGGAAGGAGAAGUACCACUCCAACCAAACAAAUCAUUCUGAGCGCACCAAAAAUCUGUCCAAAGAGGAAUGGGGAAUACACAGGUCUUUCAGCUGCUGACAGUCAGCCUUUAAUGGUGGAUGUUAAUAUUAAACCAAAACACUGCCCUCCUGAUAUUACAGGUGCUAAAGUUUUUUACAUUUUCAUCAAGAUACAUGAGGGUAUUGUGAGUGUGACCUUUCUUUUGUCUUUUCGUUAUUUAACUCUUUUCAGCCAUUUGCAGUGCUACCACAAAUUUCAUCUGAUGUGUUAA
rnacentral:lncRNA from 1 species